GACGAACGCUGGCGGCGUGCUUAACACAUGCAAGUCGAACGAUGAAGAAAAGAAUUGAAGCUUCGGCAGAAAUUCAUUUCGGAUUAGUGGCAGACGGGUGAGUAACGCGUGAGCAACCUACCUCUUACAAAGGGAUAGCCUCGGGAAACCGGGAUUAAUACCAUAUAACAUUGCGACGAAGCAUUUCGAUGCAAUCAAAGCUACGGCGGUAAGAGAUGGGCUCGCGUCCCAUUAACCAGAUGGUGAGGUAACGGCGCACCAUAGUAACGAUGGGUAACCGGCCUGGGAGGGUGAACGGUCACGCUGGAACUGAGACACGGUCCAGACUCCUACGGGAGGCAGCAGUGGGGAAUAUUGCACAAUGGAGGGAACUCUGAUGCAGCGACGCCGCGUGAGUGAUGAAGGAAUUCGUUUCGUAAAACUCUGUUCUAUGGGAAGAAAAGGACUGUACCAUAGGAGAAAGCUCCGGCUAAAUACGUG
rnacentral:rRNA from 1 species